UGAUAAUUUUUGCUUCAGUUGACUAAGAGAGUUUGGGUGGAGUUAAAAGUCUAAGCUAGUUAGAUGUGGUUAGUGGGUAGGAUAUUGGGGGAUUAGGUUGUUAAUGAAUGAGGAGGAGAGUUAAUCUAAAUUUGUAUUUUAUUUUAUUUUUUCCUAUUCUCUCUUUCAAAUUUUUUUUACGUAAGUUUUUGCCUUCUUCCAUUCUUCUCUUUUUUUUUCUAUUUCCCCUUUUCAAAUCUGUACUCCCCUUUGGUUCUUCAUGUGCACUUCGAAAUUUUGA
rnacentral:lncRNA from 1 species